AAUUUUGGACAAUGGGCGCAAGCCUGAUCGAGCCAUGCCGCGUGAGUGAAGAAGGCCUUCGGGUUGUAGAGCUCUGUCGGACGGAAAGAAAUCGCGCAGGCUAAUACCCUGCGCGGAUGACGGUACCGUCAUAAGGAGCACCGGCUAACUACGUGCCAGCAGCCGCGGAGAUACGUAGGGUGCGAGCGUUAAUCGGAAUUACUGGGCGUAAAGCGUGCCAAGGCGGUUGAUUAAGACCGGCGUGAAAUCCCCGGGCUUAGCCUGGCAACUGCGCUUAUGACUGGUCAGCUAGAGUACGGCAGAGGGGGGUGGAAUUCCACGUGUAGCAGUGAAAUGCGUAGAGAUGUGGAGGGACACCGAUGGCGAAGGCAGCCCCCUGGGCCGAUACUGACGCUCAUGCACGAAAGCGUGGGUAGCAAACAGG
rnacentral:rRNA from 1 species